UUUAAAUAAAUUCUGUAAAGGAUACUUUGAUUUAACAAUAUGUUUUUUUGAUGUUUUCCUAUUCUUAAGGCACAGCCAUUGUUUUUUGUUGGUAAAGGUAUUAUGAACCUGAGGAAAAUAUAUAUUCUUUAAUAGUAUAUCAUUCAGAAGACAGCACAAAUCUCUUAGCUUUAAAAUUAAUCACAGUUCAUUGAGUUCCAUUAUGCUCUACUGUUUAUCUUUCUGUUUGAUGUUUUUCCCACUCUUGAGAAAGGAACACUAAAACCACACAAUUUUUAUUUUGGAAAUGUAUGUCUUUUCAUAUUUCAGUUCAUUUUUUCCUUAGGAAUUAGAAACUAUGUGUUUAACAUUGUUGACAUUGAUUCAUUAUCUAUGAUUUAUUUAGGUAUAAUGCAAUUUCAUUAUUCACUUUUAUUGACAAGAGACAAUUACUUCAUUAACUAAAAACCUGAACUCAAAGUCAGGAAGACCUGGGUUCAAAAACCUCCUUUCAAUACACCCUGACAAUGUGAAGUCAAUUAAACUAGAAAAGUCUAUUAAACCCCAAAUUUUUCUGUGCAACUCUCUAAGAAUAUAAAUAACAGAAAUUAUGUUGACUUGUAUUGGAAGAAAUGGGUUUCUUCACCUGAGAGUUCUCUUUAUCAAUGAAAUGACAGAUAUAGUCAGUAUAGAUGGUGUUAAAUUCAUUCUCUUCUUCUUUGAAGUCAAUACUUUGACCUUGCAAUUAGUUUCAAUUAAAUUAUGUUGAUAUAAUCAUACACCCAUAGACGUUCUUUCUUUCUUUCUUUUUUGCUUUCUUUCUUCUUUCUCUCUUUCUUUCUUUCUUUCUUUCUUUCUUUCUUUCUUUCUUUCUUUCUUUCUUUCUUUCUUUCUUUCUUUCUUUCUUUCUUUCUUUCUUUCUUUCUUUCUCUCUCUCUCUCUCUCUCUCUCUCUCUCUCUCUCUUUCUUUCUUUCUUUCUUUCUUUCUUUCUUUCUUUCUUUCUCUCUCUCUCUCUCUCUCUCUCUCUCUCUCUUUCUUUCUUUCUUUCUUUCUUUCUUUCUUUCUUUCUUUCUUUCUUUCUUUCUUUCUUUCUUUCUUUCUUUCUUUCUUUCUUUCUUUCUUUCUUUCUUUCUUUCUUUCUUUCUUUCUUUCUUUCUUUCUUUCUCUCCUUCCUCUUCUUCUUGCUACUUAUCUCAUACCUCAAUAAUUUUACAUUCUUUUGGGGAGAAGAGUAUGAUAAACAUCUACAGAAAUAAGCACAAAGAGUUAUGAAUAAAAUAGGACUAGGAUAAUUGAGUCUGUAGCGAGAAUUUACCAUUGGAGAGGUUAUCGAAAGCUUCAAGAAGGAGGAAGCACCUGAGAUGAGUCUUAAAGGAAGGCAGGAAAACAUUCUGAACCGUUGUGAUGGAGUACAUUCCAGGAAAGGCAAAGAGCUUGUUUGAUUUUUUGGAAGUAAGAGAUGACAUACUCAUUGUGUUUGAAGACUGCCCAAUAGUCCUAGUUGACUCAAAAAUAGAUUUCUUAAAAUGGAGCAGCAUGAAUUGGGUGGGAUUUGGAUUUUGGACCUGUUUCUAAAGAAAGAUCCAACUCCCUGUAACUACUUUUUCCCCCCUGAUCUAUCAUGUGAAGCAUUAUCAUGCUAGUUUCAAUUUCUCUUUCAGGGUUAUCAAUUUUUAGUUAUGAGUACUCCUUUUACUGAGAUCAAUCACAGUUAAUCUUUGAAUUAGGAGCUGGUCUUCAUGUUACUAUGUUCCAAAAAUCAAUCUACUCCAACUAUAUGCCCAAUUUUAUAGGUUAGAUGAACCUCUUUGAACUUAUGCCCUUUUUGAAAUUAGUUGGGCUGGUCCUUGGACCAAGACCUGCCAAAGUUGCUGUUAUCCAGACAUGACAAAAAAGGGCUCAGAAGUACCCCACUCUGAACAGGAUAGAAAUCCUAUUUCUUUUAAUAAAGUUACCUGCAUAGGUGUCA
ensembl:lncRNA